CACGUAGGCACCAAGCGUUGUCCGGAUUUAUUGGGCGUAAAGAGCUCGUAGGCGGUUCGGUAAGUCGGAUGUGAAAACUUUGGGCUCAACCCAAAGCGUGCACUCGAUACUGCCAUGACUAGAGUUCGGUAGGGGAGUGGGGAAUUCCUAGUGUAGCGGUGAAAUGCGCAGAUAUUAGGAGGAACACCGGUGGCGAAGGCGCCACUCUGGGCCGAAACUGACGCUGAGGAGCGAAAGCGUGGGUAGCAAACAGG
rnacentral:rRNA from 1 species